CCUACGGGAGGCUGCAGUGGGGAAUAUUGCACAAUGGGGGAAACCCUGCUGCAGCAACGCCGCGUGAGUGAAGAAGUAUUUCGGUAUGUAAAGCUCUAUCAGCAGGGAAGCAGAUGACGGUACCUGAGUAAGAAGCCGCGGCUACCUACGUUACAGCAGCCGCGGUCAGACGUAGGGGUCAAGCGUUCUCCGGAUUUACUGGGUGUAAAGGGAGCGUAGACGGUGUGACAAGUCUGAAGUGAAAGCCCGGGGCGCAAGCCCGGGACUGCUUUGGACACUGCCUGACUGGAGUGCUGGAGAGGCAAGCGGAAUGCCUAGUGUAGCGGGGAAAUGCGUAGAUAGUAUGAAGAACACCAGUGGCGAAGGCGGCUUGCUGGACAGUAACUGACGUUGAGGCUCGAAAGCGUGGGGAGCAAACAGGAUUAGAUACCCGUGUAGUC
rnacentral:rRNA from 1 species